GGGGUUGCGGGUUCGAUUCCCACUACCG
rnacentral:tRNA from 1 species